rnacentral:piRNA from 1 species
AUUGGCGGCUUGUCUGUUGUCUUAGCUAA